AGCUAUCUUCUUGGCCUCCCGUUUUCUCUCUCUAGAAACCCAGUUUGUUGGAGCUUCGUGCUAUCUUCUAAAGCGCCGCUGCUUUGCUACUGAUGAUCCUGUAUCAUUGAUUUCCGGCGCUGCUCAUUGAUUCCAAUGGUAUUUUCAGUUGGACCGCGACUUUUAACAAGGUACUCUCGUCGUCAUUGCUUCGAUUUCGGCAUUGUGUUCCUCACAGCAAGGUUGCCUUACCGUUGUUUUGUCUCUUGCGGUUUUUCCCGUUGCUGCCCACUAUUGUUUCUGGUGAUUUUGCUCCGCUCUUGGUAGAUUCCAGAAUGUUUACUUGCCCAGGCUACCGCUCGUUCACUUGAAACGGCACUGUUUGGUCUUGCUAUUGUGGGUUUUGCGCAAAAGAUUUUGUUCUCUCUGUGGCCAUCCUUGCUUCGCAGUUAAUGGCAUUGGUUCAGUGCUGUAAGUCACCAAGCUCGUUUUACUUAGUUCCUUCUCUCCUUUUGCACCUCGGUUGCUUGUGGUAAUUUUGUUGUUGGACAUGCCCCCGUGUUGUUUGGUUGGUUCUUCGCUUGUUUCGAACCCCUGAUUCUAUCAAAUGGGUAAGUUUAAGAAUCUAGUGAACACACCUGUAGAUACCCCAUUUUUGACUGCCCUUACGACUUGGGCGCCGUAGGUUGAUUGCUCGAGGGUGAAGGUUAUAUUGUGCAAAGGUUUGAUUUCUUCGGUAAGAGGAGCUUCAAAUCCCUACCUUACACCCCAUUUUGGACCACAACUAUUUUGAC